rnacentral:rRNA from 1 species
UGGCGCACGGGUGCGUAACGCGUGGGAAUCUGCCCUUCGGUUCGGAAUAACAGUGGGAAACUACUGCUAAUACCGGAUAAUGACGUAAGUCCAAAGAUUUAUCGCCGAAGGAUGAGCCCGCGUAGGAUUAGCUAGUUGGUGAGGUAAAAGCUCACCAAGGCGACGAUCCUUAGCUGGUCUGAGAGGAUGAUCAGCCACACUGGGACUGAGACACGGCCCAG